rnacentral:rRNA from 1 species
CGGUAAAAGCUCAAAUUUGAAAUCUGACUUUUGUCUGAGUUGUAAUUUGUAGAGGAUGUUUUGGGCGCUGGUUCAAUUUAAAUUUCUUGGAACAGAAUGUCAAAGAGGGUGAGAAUCCCGUCUUGGGACCGGCGGUAGGGCCUGUGUAAAACUCCUUCGAC